rnacentral:rRNA from 1 species
GACGAACGCUGGCGGCGUGCUUAACACAUGCAAGUCGAACGAUGAAACGGUGCUUGCCCCGUGGAUUAGUGGCGAACGGGUGAGUAAUACGUGAGUGACCUACCUUUGACUCUGGGAUAAGCCUGGGAAACUGGGUCUAAUACCGGAUACGACCAAUCUCUGCAUGGGGUGUUGGUGGAAAGCGUUAUGGAGUGGUUUUAGAUGGGCUCACGGCCUAUCAGCUUGUUGGUGAGGUAAUGGCUUACCAAGGCGACGACGGGUAGCCGGCCUGAGAGGGUGACCGGCCACACUGGGACUGAGACACGGCCCAGACUCCUACGGGAGGCAGCAGUGGGGAAUAUUGCACAAUGGGCGCAAGCCUGAUGCAGCGACGCCGCGUGAGGGAUGACGGCCUUCGGGUUGUAAACCUCUGUUAGCAUCGAAGAAGCGAAAGUGACGGUAGGUGCAGAGAAAGCGCCGGCUAACUACGUG